UUCCAGGUGUCCUCGCCGCUUACAGGAUGGCUCCCCACGCGGCAACGGGGUUUUCUCCCUUCUUUCUUAUGUAUGGCCAGGACGCUGAUCCGCCCGUGGAUGCCCAGUUGGGGAUUUCCGAACCCCGUGCUAAGUCGAAAUUGGCUGAUCACAUCAAAUUUAAAAUUUCUAAAUUGGCCGAGGCACGGGAAGCAGCGAGGUUGAACUCGAGAUCUUGCCAGAUGGCGAACGAGCGGUUGCAUGCACAGCGGAUUCAGGACUGGGGCUACGCAUGGCACAAGGCCUCAACACGCCUAUGCUACUCUUCAACUUCCAUCAUCAUCAUCAGCCAUGGUCAGUCCACUUGUGGAUGAAAGCCUCCCCAAGUUGCUGCCACAUCUCACAACCCGGCGAUGUAACAAUCCAUCUAGCAGCUUCAGACGCUGAUCGCAGACGUGUGGUCACUUCGAACGUGCGCAGGGUCACGCCGAAGAUGUCCUCGUGGUAGCGGCCUUCGUCCUGUGGCAAGAGGGAUGAGCAGCACGCGACGCCGGGAAGGAAACCAGGGAACAUGGAGGAAACCCAUACAGAACAAGGGGAGAACAUACAAACUUCACAUAGAAAG